CUGGGAACUAGGGGACAGAGAACAUAAGGACGGGCAUUCAGAAGUGACUGGCAGCUCUACCCUACAUUUAGAAUAUACUACUUGAGAGAGUCCUACAUGUAGAGGGCAAACAACAUGAUGGUCCUUUAAGAAAUCACUUCAAGGCUGACACCUUACUGGUC
rnacentral:lncRNA from 1 species